UUAAAAAUCAGGCCUGACUUGAAGAUGUUUUUUUUAAAUUGCUUACGUUUUGUUUUAUAUUAAUCAAAGUCUUUUAUUUGUUAAAAAUUAACGACCUCGACUUACUUAGAAAAGUUGGGUCGUUACAUAAUCACUUGAGAUCGUCCAUCAGAAGUGUUAACAUAGAUCUCUAUGCCGAUGAGGAUUUGGGCAACACACCUAUGAACGAAGAAGUGAAGGAAUGAUUAAUAAUAUUGUUGCAAUUGCAACCGUACUUGAUGAUAGCAAUGGUGGUCCCAAUGUUAAAAUCUUGGUGGACUUGCUCACAGGAGGAGAUUGUAGUUUACCUAUUCCAGUGAAGGGCAAGAUAGAGACUUUAAAUCAAGCAUUAGGUUUCGAUAUUAUUUUGUUUGUGCUUGGAGCAUUCAACCCCAAAGGAUGUUCUGUAUUCUUCAAAUUACAUAAAUGUUAAUGGAACCAUUAAGCUCUUAUAUGGACAUGUCGUGAACAAUAUGAAGGAUGUAGAUAUGGUUCGCAUCCUAAUGAACAAGCUAAUAUUCGGUAAAAACAAAUUCAUUUAUUUAGCUCGUUAGGACUUGCUCCAUUAUUGCGGCAUGGUAGAAAUAGGCUAUAUGUGCAUCCUAGCAUACAUUACGUAAGUAAACAUCUUUUACUCAUCUUUAUGUCCAAUACUAUAGCUAUAGUUAUUUUGUUCCUUUUUAACUAAGGUUGCUUUUACUUAGAUAUCUUUGGGAUGAAUGUGAUUGUGGAAGCAAGUUUUUUGUUAUCACCAAGCAAAAAUAACAUCACAUAUCAAGGAUCGUGAUCUCCGAUCCAGAAAUUUUGCCAACCAGUUAGAAGCGGCUACCUUAGAACAAAUAGUUCUAAUUCCGUAUAAUACUGGUUUUCAUUGGAUGUUGCAUGUCAUCGAUCUUCGAGAGAACUGUGUUUAUGUUUUGGACUCUCUUCAAAGUAAAGUUAACGAAGACAUCCAUGGAGUCAUAAAUGUGACUUAUGAUUUACUUCUUAUUUGACUUCAUUGUCUUCUAAUUCUAAUGUUUCCAAAUGUAUAGAGGAUUAAAAACAUGGCAAGCUAAGCAUGAUUUACAACACUAUCGAUCGGUCAAAUCCGAAAUGGAAACCUAUAAAGUUUAAUACAAAAAAGUGCAUAUACGCAAGAGGAGAUUGACGAGAUUCGAACAAAAUAUGCAAGCUUUGUUAGCCGAUUUGUGUAAGCUUUUACACUUUUUUUUGUAGUAUAUAAGUUACUAGUACUAAUACUAAUUGUUUUAAUAUAUAAGCUACGAGAUUCUAGUACUACUUGUUGUACAUACUUUAAUUUUGAGGUUUUCUGCUUGUAGUAGUUUAUGAAUAAGUGUUGUAUUGUAGUGUUUUAGGUGUUGACUUUAGAGUGUAUUUGUUGUAGUACUAUGUGGAAAGUGUGUAUUAGUGGAGGAAUUUGUUGUACACAUACUUUAAUACUUUACAUAUUAUUUACUUGAUUGAUAUGUGUAUUUUUGUAGUA